AACCUCAAUAUAUGUGUGAU
rnacentral:rRNA from 1 species